UACGGGGGGGGCAAGCGUUGUUCGGAAUUACUGGGCGUAAAGGGCUCGUAGGCGGCCAACUAAGUCAGACGUGAAAUCCCCAGGCUCAACCUGGGAACUGCGUCUGAUACUGGAUGGCUUGAAUUCGGGAGAGGGAUGCAGAAUUCCAGGUGUAGCGGUGAAAUGCGUAGAUAUCUGGAGGAACACCGGUGGCGAAGGCGGCAUCCUGGACCAACACUGACGCUGAGUGAGCGAAAGCCAGGGGAGCAAACGGG
rnacentral:rRNA from 1 species